rnacentral:rRNA from 2 species
CAGCCGCCGCGGUAAAACCAGCACCUCAAGUGGUCAGGAUGAUUAUUGGGCCUAAAGCAUCCGUAGCCGGCUCUGUAAGUUUUCGGUUAAAUCUGUAUGCUCAACAUACAGGCUGCCGGGAAUACUGCAGAGCUAGGGAGUGGGAGAGGUAGACGGUACUCGGUAGGAAGGGGUAAAAUCCUUUGAUCUAUUGAUGACCACCUGUGGCGAAGGCGGUCUACCAGAACACGUCCGACGGUGAGGGAUGAAAGCUGGGGGAGCAAACCGGAUUAGAUACCCGGGUAGUCCCAGCUGUAAACUAUGCAAACUCAGUGAUGCAUAGGCUUGUGGCCAAUGCAGUGCUGCAGGGAAGCCGUUAAGUUUGCCGCCUGGGAAGUACGUACGCAAGUAUGAAACUUAAAGGAAUUGGCGGGGGAGCAC